rnacentral:rRNA from 1 species
GACGAACGCUGGCGGCGUGCCUAAUACAUGCAAGUCGAACGCUUCUUUUUCCACCGGAGCUUGCUCCACCGGAAAAAGAGGAGUGGCGAACGGGUGAGUAACACGUGGGUAACCUGCCCAUCAGAAGGGGAUAACACUUGGAAACAGGUGCUAAUACCGUAUAACAAUCGAAACCGCAUGGUUUUGGUUUGAAAGGCGCUUUCGGGUGUCGCUGAUGUAUUGACCCGCGGUGCAUUAGCUAGUUGGGUAGGUAACGGCUCACCAAGGCCACGAUGCAUAGCCGACCGGAGAGGGUGAUCGGCCACAUUGGGACUGAGACACAGCCCAAACUCCUACGGGAGGCAGCAGUAGGGAAUCUUCGGCAAUGGACGAAAGUCUGACCGAGCAACGCCGCGUGAGUGAAGAAGGUUUUCGGAUCGUAAAACUCUGUUGUUAGAGAAGAACAAGGAUGAGAGUAACUGUUCAUCCCUUGACGGUAUCUAACCAGAAAGCCACGGCUAACUACGUGCCAGCCGCCGCCGUAA